AUUGAACGCUGGCGGCAGGCCUAACACAUGCAAGUCGAGCGGGGUUUUCGGACCUAGCGGCGGACGGGUGAGUAAUGCGUAGGAAGCUACCCGAUAGAGGGGGAUACCAGUUGGAAACGACUGUUAAUACCGCAUAAUGUCUACGGACCAAAGUGUGGGACCUUCGGGCCACAUGCUAUCGGAUGCGCCUACGUGGGAUUAGCUAGUUGGUGAGGUAAUGGCUCACCAAGGCGACGAUCCCUAGCUGGUUUGAGAGGAUGAUCAGCCACACUGGAACUGAGACACGGUCCAGACUCCUACGGGAGGCAGCAGUGGGGAAUAUUGGACAAUGGGCGCAAGCCUGAUCCAGCCAUGCCGCGUGUGUGAAGAAGGCCUUCGGGUUGUAAAGCACUUUCAGCGAGGAGGAAGGGAUGUAUGUUAAUAGCAUGCAUUUUUGACGUUACUCGCAGAAGAAGCACCGGCUAACUCUGUGCCAGCCGCCGCCGUAACAC
rnacentral:rRNA from 1 species